rnacentral:lncRNA from 1 species
AGUGCGGAAGUGAGAGGCGAGCUCCAGCUCCCCGGAGUCGGUGCCUUUUAAGCUGGCUAGCCGUGUUCUUCGCUGGUCCGCGGAAGUCUGGCUCGGCUGCUGGAGGGGAGCUGGGCCUGCGGAGGCCCGGGCGUGGGGUUGGGCGUCUGCCUACGGAGCUCCCGCGGAGCCCCUGCAGGGUUGCAGGUUAGAGGACUUGGUCUGGUUUCUCCUUUCACCAUGUGGGUUCAGGGAUCACCAUCAAGCUUGGCAGGAAGGCUUUUACCAGCUGAACCGUGCUGAGGCCCCAUGUCCUUUGAUUUUGUUUUGUUUUGUUGUGUUGAGACAAGGUUUCUCUGUGUAGCACGUUGUAGCUCUGUAAACCAGGCUGGCCUCAAACUCAGAUUUGCCUUCCUCUGUUUCCCAGUGUUAGGAUUAAAGUCAUGUACCACCAAGCCAAGCUGGUUUGUUUGUUUGUUUGUUUUUUGUUUUAAUUACAAGUUUUGUUUAGUUUAAUUACAAGUUAUUUACUGAUGUUUAAAUAAUAAUAACUUUAUUGGCAUAACUCCCAUACUCUGUAACUUACAUAUAAGUAUACAGUUCCGUUUAGAACAUUUGGUUGUGCAGCCAUCACAUUUGAGACUGUUGAUUCCACCAGAAACUUUGUAUUCAUUUAUAGUGUUCUACUGCUGUGAAGAGACCAUGGCAACUGUCCUUCUAGAGAGCAUUUAAUUGGCGCUUGCUUACAGUUUCAGAGGUUUAGUCCAUUCUCCCCAUUGGUUAAGAUCAGUGUGUUGCUCCUGCACAGAACCCUAAUAUGGUGCCCAGCAUGCAUGUGGCUGCUCAAAACUCUGUAAUUCCAGGCACCUCAGGACACUGAUCCACAUGUGGGUUUCUCAUACACAUAAAGUGAAAACCAAUCUUAAAAAGAGAAAGUCCUGACCUGGAUGGUGAACAUUUAACAUGACCCAUGUCCAGUUGUCUGGAAGAAUUUGAGGAGUUGGCCCUAUUUCUUCUUUUAAAUGUCAGAGCCACCAGAGCUUAGGGUGUCCCUGAUGGGAAGGUUGUAGCUACACAUUCAGUUUCUUUAACAGUUGAACUCUGGUUUCUGUGGCUGAGAGAGUGUUGGUGAUUUUUAGACUCUGUUGGGGCAAUGCAUCUUUUAUUUCUAAGAUCAGAAAUCUGAGUCUCCCAUCCAUUUCUCCUGACUAGUGUGCUGUGCUGGUUAGGGUUUGCUUUGUUUUGUUUUGUUUUUGUCCAACGGCCCAGCCUGUUGUGGGUGGCGUCACUCCUGGGCAGGCGAGCCUGGGAGGUGUAAGCCAGCAAACUGAGCGAGCUAUGGGGAGCAAGCCAGAAAGCAGCACCCUCAGUGGCCGGCCUCUGCUUCAGCUCCUGCUUCUAGGUUCCUGCCUUGACUUCCUGUCAUAAGACGCCGUAAUCCAGACUUGUAGACCAAACAAACCCUUUGCUCCCCAAGUUACUUUUGGCCAAGGUACUCUAUCACAGCAACAGAGAGCAUACCAAGAUAUUUUGCAAGAAGUUUGUCAGUUUAUUGAUAUUUCUCAAAAGAAAAAAACUUUCAAUUUGAUUUUUAGCUAUUAUUUUAAAUUUCUUCCUGUUGAAUUGAGAAAUGAUUGAACCCGUUUUAAAUCUUUUACAUCUAUAUUGAGAUUUUAUCUUUUCUAUUACUAUUAUUAUUAUUAUUUGUUGCUGUUUUCAAGACAGGAUCUCACUAAGUAGCCCUGGUUGUCCUGGAACUCAUUCUGUAGCCCAGGCUGGCCUUGAACUCACAGAGAUCCGCCUGCCUCUGCCUCCGGAGUGCUGGGAUUACAGCCCAGCCUGCUGUUAUGACUUGCACUUACCUAUUUUUAGUUUAUUGAUUUUUUCCCCUUCUAUUUUCCAUUUCCAUUUCUUUUUAUUUUCAGUUUUACACCGUGUUAUGUGGCUUUUCAUCUCAUGAUGGGAGCUGGCAUUGAUUUGAAACCUUUUAGGAGUUCGAUAUAGGCUAGAGCUGAGGUGUAGCCGGCUUGGUGGAAUGCUUGCCUUGCCUUCAUGAAGCUGUGCUGUCAAUUGCCAGCACGGUACACAACCAGCUGUGGUGACACAAGCCUGCACCAGCACUCUGGGAGUAGAGGCAAGAGGAUAAGAAGUUCAAGGUUAUCCUUGGCUACAUAGUGAAUUAGGGAUGGCCUGGGCUAUGUAAAACCCUGUCUCAAAUGAGCUGGGCGGUGGUGGCGCACGCCUUUUAUCCCAGCACUUGGGAGGCAGAGGCAAGUGGAUUUCUGAGUUCAAGGCCAGCCUGGUCUACAAAGUGAGUUCCAGGACAGCCAGGGCUACACAGAGAAACCCUGUCUUGAAAAAACAAAAACAAAAACCCAAAAACCAAAACAACAACAACAAACCCUGUCUCAAAAACAAACAAAACGGUUCUAAGUACUAUGCAUCUAGAAAUGUCUCAAAUAUUUUAAGUUGGGGCUGGUGAGAUGGCUCAGCAGGUAAGAGCACCCGACUGUUCUUCUGAAGGUCCUGAGUUCAAAUCCCAGCAACCACAUGGUGGCUCACAACCAUCCCUAAUGAGAUCUGACUCCCUCUUCUGGUGUGUCUGAAGACAGCUACAGUGUACUUACAUAUAAUAAAUAAAUAAAUCUUUAAAAAAAAAUAUUUUAAGUUAAGAUGUCAUGUUUUCCUUAUAUUUUCUUUUUUUAUUUGUUUAUUUCUGAGACAGAGUGUCACUGGCCUCGAACUCACAAUCCUCGCACUUCAUAAGCCUCUUGAGUGCUGUGAUUACCCUGUGUGCCAAAUGCCUAGUUCACGUUUCCGUUUUCCUCCAACUCCAAAUACUUCAUAAUUUCCCUUUCAAGUUCUUCACUCACAAGCUAUUUAUAAAUACGCUAUUCCUAAUUAAUUUCCGAAUGUUUGGAAGUUUUCUAGAGAGCUUUUUGUAAAUGGUGUCUAAUGUGAUUCCAGUGUGAUUAGAGACUAUGCAUUGUAUGGCUUGAAUACUUUUAAUAAUAAUUUAAAUUGUCUUAUGCUUGAAAUAUGACCAGCUUUGGUAACACGGGUCCUUGUGCUCUUGGAGAGAACGUGUGUGCUGCAGACUUUGAGUGUCCUGUAACUGUCAUUCAGGACAAGCUAGCUGGUGGUGUUCUCCUAGAGUUCUGUGAGUUUCUGCCUGUGCUCAAUCAGUGAUUGAGAGAAUCCGAAUUAUCUGAAGAUAGCUGUACCUAUGUCUGUUUUUCCUUGCGGUUCUAUCACUUUUGGGAUCAAGCAUUUAAAACCAUGGUAAAAGACAUAAACAGCUGGGCCAUUAUGUCCACUUGAUGAGUGGAAGAUUCUAAAACGAUCUUUGUUCUGGGUUACACCCCACUCCCCAAGUCUGUUUAUGUGAUGUUAAUAUAGCCACAUGGCUUCCUUUUUGUGUUGGCAUGGUAUCUUUUUAUUUCAACUUGCUUCUUUGGUUUUUUUCUUUUGUAAUCCUUAAAUUGCAUGUGUUCACACCAGAGGACAAUUUUGGGGGAUGGGGUUUGUUCUCUCCUUUCCCUGUGUGGCUGCUGGGGCAGUCAGGCUUUGUGACAGGUGCCUUUUACCACUGAGUCAUCUUACCAGCCUCGUUUCUUUACAUAUAAAAUGUGUUUCUGGCCCACAGACAUUAACUAAGCAGGGUUCACAGGGGCUCACAGACUGAAGUGGCAAUCACGGAGCCUGCAUGGGUCUAACCUAGGUCCUCUGCAUGUAUGUUAUGAUUGUUAGAUUGGUGUUCUAAUAGUGGGAGUAUCUCUGACUCUUUCGUCUGCUCUUGGGAUCCUUAUUCUCCUCCUACUGGGUUGCCUCUCCUAGUAUAUUAGGGUUUGUGCCUGGUCUUAUUGAAUCCUAUUAUGCUGUGUUCAGUGGCUUUCCCUGGGAGGCCUGCCCUUUUCUGAAGGGAAAUGGAGGAGGAGUGGAUCUGAGUGAGAGGGGAGGGGCAGGAGGAGUGGAGGGAGGAGAAACUUUAUCCAGGAUGGACUGAGAAAAACAAACAAACAAACAAUAUAUAUAUAUAUAUGUAUGUAUGUAUAGUUGGUGUACCACCAUGCUUUCUGUGUUAUUUACUUUUCUAAGGCUGAGAAAAAUACUUGGUAAAAGCAACUUGAGGGAGAAAGGGCUUGUUAGUUUGAGGGUGCAGCCCAUCAGGUCAGUGUAGCCAUGGCGGCAGGAGAGUGCGGCAGCUAAGUCAUAUCAGUCACAGCAGAGAGCUAUGAGCACUGCUGCUCAGCUCACUCAGCUCGCUGUCUCUCUCUAUUUGCCUAGGAUGACAGCCUAUGGCUGCUACAACUCACGUUUAGGGUAGGACUUCCUUCCUCAACUAUCUGAUCUAGAUAAUCCUUCAUGGAUAUGCUCAGAUCUGUGCCCCUCCAUAUACAAGGAAAUAAAAUACAUAGAAUUGUCACUUGAGAAUCCAAAGCUUGGGGCUAGCACACAGGAAUAAAUCCCAUCUGUGUUGUAGAGGAUCUUUUGAUCAGAGAUCUGCCCCCUCUUUUUUCAGAGAAUGUUUAGGGAACACCUGCUGUCCCUCGGAUACCAUGAUAGGCAUUGAAGAUACCGCUUUUACCAGAGAAGAUUCUGGGAGAAGAAAUCCACAGAUACAGACAGUUAUCAACAUCUGAAAGUGUCCUAUUUCUGGCCCACUUGGAAGGGAAAAGGGAACUGACUCCCAGCAGGCCCCACACAACUGUACUCUUCCCACACU